rnacentral:lncRNA from 1 species
ACUCAGCCACCAUGCCCCACGUGACCGGCACGCGCGCCCAAGAAGACUACAGCUGCCCCUUGAUCCAGUAACCCGACCCCGAGUCGGAUAUCUUCGGCUUCGCAGCCCGACCCCGAGUCGGCUGCCCCUUGAUCCAGCAAUCCGACCCCGAGUCGGCAAUCUCUCGACAACGACAGGCUGUUCCCCUGAAGCACGCCGCGACCCU